CGCAAACAGCCAACCCUAGCCCUAGCCCUGACCUACUCUCCCAUUUCUGACCUCUCCUUCCAUCUCCUCUCCCUCAUUUCCCUAACUCCUUCGUCGUGAUCCCCUCUCCCAUUCUCAUCCUCAUUUCACCUACCAUAUAUAAUUGUAUAUACAUUUUUGUGUAUAUAUUAUGUAUAUAAUCACCAAAGCUUGCUUCAGGGUUUCCAAGAUUUACGUGUCAGGAUCAAAAUUUCAAAUGAGAGAGAAGGCGUUUAGCAAAUUCGUUACUGGUGCUGGAGCGCGGUCCUCGAUAGAGGCUUCUGUUUCUAGGGCCUCAGGCGUACAAGAUAGAGGACAUUGGAGCGGAUUCUAGUGGUCGUCGUCGGUUGUUGGUGGUGAAACAAGAACAAGGUAGGCACAGCGAGAUUGCUUUGUAUGGGGCAACGAAUAGAUGGUUGGUCGCGCGAUUGCGAUAGGCGAAUGCGGCUAAGGAUCCUGGUUUGGUCUUGGGUCGAGUGUUGGGUUGAAGCCGAAGUGUAGCGGUGUGGCUGAGGUCUGAGCAGAAUAAGUGUGUGGUGCAAGUGGUCAUGUUAUCAGGGGUUCAUUGUCAUCAGAUUUUCGUACCACUGGCAGAUGAUGGAUAGGAAGGCCUUGCGCUGGUACUGGAAGGUUUCGAUCCAGGAUGCAGAUAGAUGGACCAGCGGCAAUCUUGGUGGCUGCUAGGUGGUCAGGUAAAUGUUGGUCACUGGCAACAAGGCGACUGGAGCAAGAUCGGGGGCGUGAUGUUCGCGCUAGAAAUCUGGCCCAAGAUCGGAGGAGAGAUUUUCGGAGUUCUUCUCUUGGGCAGUUAGGCAAAGGUGUUGGGUCGAAGAUAAUAGGCCCAGGAAAAACGCAUGGGCCUGGAAUGAGGGGUUUGGAUUUGGGCCAUUUUAAUAAUGUUUUUUUAAGAAAUGCAGUUUUGGGCCAAAGAGGCUUUGAUGCUAGUCUAGGUCAGCUUCGACCUACAGGUGUUGGGCAUUUCGGAGUGAGGCUAUUUGGGAUAAGGCGCACAAGUCAUAGAAUGGGCAAACAGGGUCCACAGGGCUGGGUUGGUUUCAAUCCACAUCGUGGUUUGAUAGGUGAUGGGGGUUUGAAGUGUAAGGAUCUCGGGUACUAAAUCCAUCUAUUCGUCGAGUAUUUGGGUUGCUAUCGGGUGCCUUAGGACAUGAUUGUGGUGCGACAAAGGGGGCUCAAGGGAGGGGAAACGAUCGACGUCGUUCAGUGAUGGGAGAAGCGUCGACAAUUACAGAGGGUCAGACGGAGGAUCCUACUGGUUGGAAUGCGGAGGCUAGUCAUGAUUGGAAUGCUGGAAGUCUUCCUAGUAUGGCGGUGGAGGAUGAGGGUGCUUGCUGGGAGGAGCAAGUGCAAAAUACAAGGGGGCCAAAAAUUCAGCAGAGGUAGCGGUGGCAGUGGGGUUAAGGUCUUUGCCCAUGGGUAGCUGUGCUUAGGCUAUGGUUCCGCUACAAGAGGGUCGAGGUCUUCAACUGAACCUAACCCUUUCUCCGCUGCCACCCUCAUCAGUGUAGCCCCAUGCUUGCGCAGCCCCUCCUGUCCCUGUUGCCCACUGCCUAACCCCCACCUCCUCCCUUGUUGCCCUCUUUUCAUUGCCCGCACCUCCUUCUUUUCCUUUACUAGAGGCUACUGAGGGGAGUUACGGUGGUCAGCAGCUAGUCGAAUUACGAUUAUGUGGCGAUGGCAAUAGCAAUGGCUAGGGUUUUGUAGUGGCAAGGGUUGGUAGCUAGCGAUGGUGCGGUUAGGAGGGAAGGUGUGUAUCUUUUGCCCUUGAUGGUAAUUUGUUUGUGGGCCACAAUCGUAAUUAAAAAAAAAUGGUGUGAAGUACGGAAGAGGAUGGUGUGUAGAAACUCCUCAAUGUCAAGGACCACCAAAUAACUUCUCUAGCAACAGACCUUUUAUCACGGAAGUUUCCUGAAAGCCAUGGAAGCAUCAACUCCUUCUGAGGUUAACUUUCAAAUUCUGGCCAAUUCCCACAUACCACUUUCUAUUUCAUCUGGAGAUGAAGUCGAAUCAGCCAUCUCAAGGUUUACAAGAAUCGGGUGUCCAAGAAGCAUAUUGGGAUUGGUCGUAAAGUUGGAGAUCUCUAUGUGGUGGAAAGCCUACAUCUUCCUCUAUCUCCCUCUCCCAUUGCACUUUUAUCUUUUCAGUUAGAUUCUCAGUCAAGUCAGUUUUAUUUGUGGCAUUCUCACCACGGUCAUUUGUUUGUUAACCCUUGCGGUAUUUAGCUCAGUCAGGAUUGUUGGAUAAAGUUUCUUCUAGUCAAAUCAAUGAAUGUCGAGGUUGUAAACUUGCUAAAAUGGCAUACUUACCUUUUAAUAAAAGUUCCUCUAUUUUUAUUUCUUCUUUUUCUCGUGUCCAUACUGAUGUCUGGGGAUCUUCUUAUGUUCUCACUAAAGGGGGUUCUGCAUACUGUGUCAUUUGUUGAUGAUUGUAUACACUAUACCUGGGUUUAUCUUAUGGCUCAUAAAUCUGAUUUUUACCCGAUCUACUGUACCUUUCAGUCUCUGAUCACUACAUAAUUUGGGGCUACAAUUAAAAUGCUCCGGUCUGACUUGGGUGUGGAAUACUUUAAAACCGAAUUCUAUGAGUAUUUGGCCAAUUUGGGUACCCUUCAUCAAACUUCCUAUACUGAUACACCGUCAUAUCAUCGAGACAGCUAGAUCUCUCCUUCUCUCUGCCUCUGUUCUGGCACCAUUCUAGGGUGAGGCAGUUCUUACUGUUGUUUUUCUACUCAACCACAUGCCAACUCCCUUCCUCUCUGGAGGAUCUCCUUGUGAGGCUCUGUAUUUCUAACUUCCUAAUUAUUCCCUUCUACGUGUUUUUGAGUCUACUUGUUUUGUCUUUCUUUCCCAUAAAGAUAGGACAAACUAAGUGCCCAGUCUGUCCUGUGUGUCUUUUUGAGUUGCAGUCUUACUUAGAAAGGCUACCAUUAUUACGACCUUGUCUCUCAUCGCCUUUAUGUCUCUCAUCAUGUUGCCUUUCUCUAACGUUAUCUUACUUUCAGUUUCAAAAGAAGAUUUGGUUCACAUGGACCCAUUUCCUUCUGAGAUCCCUGCUGAUGAGUACAUCUCCACUGUUUCUCUUGAGCUUGUUCCAUCUUCUCCACCUUCUACCCCUUCUAUUGAGUACCUCUCCAUUGACCCCCCUGAGGCUAUUCCUAUUUCAUCUCCGGCUACUUCAACUCCUUCUCUUUCUCCGUUGUUAGUCUAUUCUUGUCGCAAGGCUCCCCAUCAACUAGUUGUCUCUACCCCGGUUGUUGCCUCUUCUGCUUCAGAAGACUCUUAUCCUGCUGUACACCGAUAUCCUACUCGAGAGUGUCAUCCUCCAAAAUAGGUUAGGUCGGGUUGGUCUAAUACAUGUUUUUCUGCUUCCUAUCAUACUUUUUUUGUCUGCUAUUCAUUCGUCUUCAAAACGUCAAUCUUACAAGGAGGCCUGUCAAGAUCCCAAUUGGGUUCAAACUAUGGAGGAUGAGUUGUCUGCUUUGCAAAAAACUAGUACUUGGGAGUUGGUUUCUUUGCCUGCUGGUAAGAAUCUGGUUGGUUAUAAAUGAGUCUAUAAAAUCAAGACUCAUUUUGAUGGUUCUCUUGAACGCUACAAAGCUCACCUGGUUGCCAAGGAUUUUUCACAAAAGUAUGGCAUUGAUUAUAAGGAGACCUUUGUCCUGUUGCCAAGAUGGCUACUGUCCAUACUUUCAUAUUUGUUGCUGCUAUUCGUCAUUGGCCUCUUUAUUAGAUGGAUGUUAAGAAUGCUUUUCUUAAUGGUCAUCUCGUUGAGGAGGCUUACAUGCAUCCUCCCCCUGGCCUUCACCAUUCCUCCGGACGGAUUUGUGGUCUUUGGCGUACUCUGUAUAGUCUGAAGCAAUCUCCUCGUGCUUGGUAUAAUCGCUUUCAGAUUGCUGUUACUGAGUUUGGGUUUCAUCCUUCUGCUUUCGACUUUUCUUUGUUUCUGAGACACACCACAACUGGUUUUGUUACUCUCUUACUAUAUGUGGAUGAUAUGAUCAUCACUGGCUCUAAUUCUUCUGUUAUCUCUGUGGUCAAGCAGCAUCUCUUUCGCAUCUUCAAAAUAAAGGAUCUAGGUCCAUUGCGAUAUUUUCUUGGUAUUGAGAUUGCUUCUUUUCUAAAGGACUAUUUUUUGUUUGAAGCUAAGUAUGCUAAUGAGGUCAUUCAUUAUGCUGGUCUUACUAAUACUAAGGUUUUUGAUACAUUUAUUAAGCUUAAUGUGAAGCUCAACUCUACUAAUGGUGUCCCUCUGGAUGAUCCCACUUUAUAUCGUUUAGUUUAUCUGACUAUCACUCGUCUAAUCUUGUUUAUGCUGUUCAUGUGGUUAGUCAGUUCGUUUUUGCUCCUCACUAUACUCAUUAGGCUGCUUUGGUUCGCAUUCUUCGCUAUUUCAGGGGUACCAUCUUUCAAGGCUUACUAUUGUUCUCUACGUCCUCUUUGGACUUAGUGGCCUAUGUUGAUUCUGAUCGGGCUGGUGGUGUUAAUGUUCACAAGUCUACAUCUAGUUUCAGUAUGUUUCUUGGUGAUUCCUUGAUCUCUUGGAAAAGUAAGAAACAAUCUGUUGUUGCUCAUUCUACUGCCGAAGCUAAGUAUCGUGCUAUGGCUCAUGCCACUAUUGAGAUUGUUUGGCUUCAUUGUCUUCUGUCUGAUUUGGUCUUUUCCGACCUCUCUCUAUUGUGACAACCGCAGUGCUACUCAGAUUGUCCACAAUAUCGUCUUCCAUGAGCGAACGAAACAUUUUGAGAUUGAUUGUCACUUUGCCCGACAGCAUCUGCAGUCUGGCUCUAUCUCGCUUCCUUUCGUCUUUUCAUCGUUGAAACUUGCAGACUUCUUCACCAAGACUCAUACUACCACUCGGUUUCAAUUUCUUCUUAGCAAACUCUUAAUGUUUUCUACUAAAACACCUUGAGUUUGAGAGGGGUUGUGAGAAUAUAUUGUGUAUAUUCUAUAUUUGGCAUGAUUGUGAUUGUACUUAAUAUAGGUGUGAUUGUGUUUUUCUUUUUUUGGUUUAGGAGUUAGGGCUAUAUAAUCUAGGGUCUUGUUGUAAUCAAACACACAAUUUGAAUACACAGAAUACAAAAGGCUUACAAGGAUAUCUUUCCACAUCCUGGAUGAAUUGUACAAAGAUGUACUAAAAAGAGAGGGGGGCAGUUUGAAUUCACCGUGACUGAUUUGCUGCAGAUAAUUCUCCUCCAAAGAGCAUUCCUUUCUGUACCAAAUCUCCCCCACCAUUUCAUCAAAAGGCACAAUUCAUUUCCCUGAUUUUUCUGAUUCUCUUUGUUUCUCAUAACAUUUCUCUAUUUGUAGUGUAUAAAUAUGAUCAGCGUAGCAUUAUUGCCCCUUUUUAAUACGAAGUGUUACAAUAUAGCGAAGGGAGAAAAACAAAGUAUUACAAUAUACUAAAGAGUGAAGUAGAAGAGUUAUGGAGAGAAUAGAAUAUCAGUACACGAUCUGGCUUUCUUGUAGUUGCACUAUAGUGCGUCAUGAUUUAGAGUUGUUAUCUUCUUUGUGAUGCAUUGUCUGUUUGGUCACUUUGCUGGUUGCUGUGGGUGUUUUUGUUGUUGCUAUUGUGACUCUUGUUUUGCUUUUGGUGGUUUCUCUUUUGUUGUUUUUGGUUGGAUCCUCUCCAACCAUUUUUUUUGUUCUUGGAUGGUGCUUGCAUAUGAUAGGGCUUUCUUUCCUAUGCCAACGUAGUUGGGAUGAAAAUGUUUAGCUUUGAUGCUUUUUGCACUCCCCCUUUGCUUUAUGUUUGAUUGCCUUAGUUAUGUAAUGUUUUUUUGGU